UGUAGUGUUGAUGUUUUUGAUCAGUGUAAUCGAAAAGAGGAAACAGAAAACUCACGUUUCUGCGAGGACAUCAUGCUACCAGGAUUAAGAACUGGAUUAGCCAAUCAACUGUGACAUGUUAACUCAAUAAACAGCAUUUCAGAGAUUGCUCCCUUAUCAGAACCUGCGAACCUGGGCCCGUGCACAUAUGGACCACCACGAACCCAGUUUCCUAAACAACAAAUUUGUUUUAUCAAUGAAUGGAAUAACACGGUGAUGUAUGGCGAGUCACACUAAGAAAAGGUCAUAUGAUGACGUUGCCCACAGAUGAUGACAACAUUCAAGAGCUAAAGUCACACGAUGACGAGGCCCAAGGAUGAUGAAGUCAUUAAACAGCUAAGUAAUAAGGCAAUGAUGGGGCCAUUCAACAGCUCAAAUCAGAUACAGACGACAUCCACAAAUAUGUCGAAGCUACUUGAAGUGGCAUAUCAAUUAAAGA